CAUGGCAGUCCUUGGCUCCACACUGCUGCCACUCGGGCUGUUUCUAUGCUUCGGACUGCUGUGUUCUUCUGCCAGCUCUGCAGGUGAAAUUGACAAAUGCAUGUUCUUCAGUGAGGUCACCACCACUGGCCCAGGCAUCAUGGUCAAUUCAGAUGUCUAUGACAGCAACAGAAACUACACAGUAUGGGUUCCUGUGAAUGCCAAUAUCAGCUCUGUGGUCCUGCGAGCAGUGGAUGAGAACAACACCUCACUAGGCCUCUGGGAAAAAGCAGAUGAGCUUUGCAACAGCAGCGCCCUGUAUCACCUGGAGAACUUGAAUGACAAGCUCUUCACAGCAAACUGGGUAUCUCCUAACUCCGAAAACAUAACCACAAUCGAGCUACAAGCCUUUGCUAUCAAUUUCUACAACAUGGCUACAUUUUCUUCUCUGCAACUAAGAAGAAAAGGUAGCAACAUUCUGAGAAUCCAUUGUGUGCUAGUUGCUAUGUGGAGAGUGAAAUAAAACCCUACAUUUAAGAAGUUUAGAAUACAAAUGAGAACACUUCUUUGUGCGAAGCAAGCAAAUCCUUUCUUGCGGAUUUAGUCAUGAAGAAAAGAUACCAGGUGCCAAGAAUAUAGUUCAACUGAAGCAGUGCGGGUCCCAACUUUCCCACUGAAGCUUCUUCCACAGGCCCCAUCUAACUUUAUUACAUGCCAUGAUGAGUUACUUCUACUAAGGGGACUAUGUGGUGUCCCUCAGGUACACAAAAGUGGCGAAGAGUAUAGAGAACCUGUCUUCCAGUAUUUGGCCAUCCGCAUGCAUGAGACGCCUCAAAUUUCCCAUACUGCUGUCUUGUAUUGUACAACACUCUGUGUAUAUAUUUUAAA